AGAGUUUGAUCCUGGCUCAGGAUGAACGCUAGCGAUAGGCUUAACACAUGCAAGUCGAGGGGCAGCAUGGUCUUAGCUUGCUAAGACUGAUGGCGACCGGCGCACGGGUGCGUAACGCGUAUGCAACUUGCCUCACAGAGGGGGAUAACCCGUCGAAAGACGGACUAAUACCGCGUACACUCUAUGUUGGGCAUCCAAUGUAGAGGAAAUGAAAUUCGCUGUGAGAUAGGCAUGCGUCCCAUUAGCUAGUUGGUGAGGUAACGGCUCACCAAGGCGACGAUGGGUAGGGGAACUGAGAGGUUGAACCCCCACACUGGUACUGAGACACGGACCAGACUCCUACGGGAGGCAGCAGUGAGGAAUAUUGGUCAAUGGGCGAGAGCCUGAACCAGCCAAGUCGCGUGAAGGAUGACGGCCCUAUGGGUUGUAAACUUCUUUUGCAGGGGAAUAAAGAUAUUCACGUGUGGAUAGUUGUAUGUACCCUGCGAAUAAGCAUCGGCUAACUCCGUGCCAGCAGCCGCGGUAAUACGGAGGAUGCGAGCGUUAUCCGGAUUUAUUGGGUUUAAAGGGUGCGUAGGCGGCCUGUUAAGUCAGCGGUGAAAUCUAGGAGCUUAACUCCUAAAUUGCCAUUGAUACUGGCGGGCUUGAGUGUAGAUGAGGUAGGCGGAAUGCGUGGUGUAGCGGUGGAAUGCAUAGAUAUCACGCAGAACUCCGAUUGCGAAGGCAGCUUACUAAGGUACAACUGACGCUGAAGCACGAAAGCGUGGGUAUCAAACAGGAUUAGAUACCCUGGUAGUCCACGCAGUAAACGAUGAUAACUGGGCGUAUGCGAUAUACAGUAUGCUCCUAAGCGAAAGCGUUAAGUUAUCCACCUGGGGAGUACGCCGGCAACGGUGAAACUCAAAGGAAUUGACGGGGGCCCG
rnacentral:rRNA from 1 species